rnacentral:rRNA from 1 species
AACGAACGCUGGCGGCAUGCCUAACACAUGCAAGUCGAACGAGACCUUCGGGUCUAGUGGCGCACGGGUGCGUAACGCGUGGGAACCUGCCCUUAGGUUCGGAAUAACUCCCCGAAAGGGGUGCUAAUACCGGAUAAUGUCUUCGGACCAAAGAUUUAUCGCCUUUGGAUGGGCCCGCGUUGGAUUAGCUGGUUGGUAGGGUAAAAGCUUACCAAGGCGACGAUCCAUAGCUGGUCUGAGAGGAUGAUCAGCCACACUGGGACUGAGAAACGGCCGAGACUCUUACGCGAUGGACGAGAGGGGGACAGUGGAAAACAGCGUGAGUCCUGAACGAGUACUGCCGCGAAAGUGAUGUAGUCCGUAAAGUUGAAAAGCUCUUGUAACCUGGAUGAUAAUGACGGUACCGGGAUAAUAAGCGACGGCUAACUCCGUG